rnacentral:rRNA from 1 species
GACGAACGCUGGCGGCGUGCUUAACACAUGCAAGUCGAACGGUAAGGCUCCAGCUUGCUGGGGUACGCGAGUGGCGAACGGGUGAGUAACACGUGGGUGACCUGCCCUGCACUUCGGGAUAAGCCUGGGAAACUGGGUCUAAUACCGGAUAGGACCGCACCGUGAGGGUGUGGUGGAAAGUUUUUUCGGUGUGGGAUGGGCCCGCGGCCUAUCAGCUUGUUGGUGGGGUAAUGGCCUACCAAGGCGGCGACGGGUAGCCGGCCUGAGAGGGUGGACGGCCACAUUGGGACUGAGACACGGCCCAGACUCCUACGGGAGGCAGCAGUGGGGAAUAUUGCACAAUGGGCGGAAGCCUGAUGCAGCGACGCCGCGUGGGGGAUGACGGCCUUCGGGUUGUAAACUCCUUUCACCAUCGACGAAGGGUUUCUGACGGUAGAUGGAGAAGAAGCACCGGCUAACUACGUGCCAGCAGCCGCGGUAAUACGUAGGGUGCGAGCGUUGUCCGGAAUUACUGGGCGUAAAGAGCUCGUAGGUGGUUUGUCGCGUCGUCUGUGAAAUUCCGGGGCUUAACUCCGGGCGUGCAGGCGAUACGGGCAUAACUUGAGUACUGUAGGGGAGACUGGAAUUCCUGGUGUAGCGGUGAAAUGCGCAGAUAUCAGGAGGAACACCGGUGGCGAAGGCGGGUCUCUGGGCAGUAACUGACGCUGAGGAGCGAAAGCAUGGGGAGCGAACAGGAUUAGAUACCCUGGUAGUCCAUGCCGUAAACGGUGGGCGCUAGGUGUGGGUUUCCUUCCACGGGAUCCGUGCCGUAGCUAACGCAUUAAGCGCCCCGCCUGGGGAGUACGGCCGCAAGGCUAAAACUCAAAGGAAUUGACGGGGGCCCGCACAAGCGGCGGAGCAUGUGGAUUAAUUCGAUGCAACGCGAAGAACCUUACCUGGGCUUGACAUAUACAGGAUCGCGCCAGAGAUGGUGUUUCCCUUGUGGCUUGUAUACAGGUGGUGCAUGGUUGUCGUCAGCUCGUGUCGUGAGAUGUUGGGUUAAGUCCCGCAACGAGCGCAACCCUUGUCUUAUGUUGCCAGCACGUUGUGGUGGGGACUCGUAAGAAACUGCCGGGGUUAACUCGGAGGAAGGUGGGGAUGACGUCAAAUCAUCAUGCCCCUUAUGCCCAGGGCUUCACACAUGCUACAAUGGUCGGUACAGUGGGUUGCCAGUCCGUGAGGGCGAGCUAAUCCCGCAAAGCCGGUCUCAGUUCGGAUCGGGGUCUGCAACUCGACCCCGUGAAGUCGGAGUCGCUAGUAAUCGCAGAUCAGCAACGCUGCGGUGAAUACGAUCGCGGGCCU